ensembl:lncRNA
CCUUGCACAGUCGUGUCCGUGGCAACCUAAUGGUUUCUCGCUUGGAUGGAUGCCAUUCACAAGCUGUUGACUUCAAGGAGCAAGGGAAAAACCCAAGGUAGAAGCACUAGGCAAGGCAUUAAAUGAUGUAAUAGAGCACAAAUACAGUUCCAGUUCUCAAGGAGGUUACUCGUCUUGUUGAGGGUACUGAAUAUACAACUAUUCAAACAACUAAAUAAUUUUGGAAAAGGUCAUGGCAUCCCCCUUUUCAGGGAAUAUAGAUGUGCCCAUAUGAGACAUAUUUACUGCAAAAAUACAUGAGAAGAAUGAAAACUCAGGAAACUGACUCAGCCACUGUACAACCAGACAACAUGGAGAAGUGCAAAAUAGUUCCUUGUUGUUCAGAAUACAACAGCAGUUUUAAAGCCUGCAAAGCAGCUCUUGUAACCAACUAGCUGCCCUGAUAAUGUGCUCAUCUAGUGACCUCCUCUGCCUCAAGUAUGUAUUGCCUGUCUUAUAGUAAUUCUGCCAUUUUUAAGCCAUCCUUCAGUCUUCUCUUUUUAUACACAACAACAAAAUCAUUAGCAUACCCUGCUGCUCUAAAUUCAAAAUACAGCCUGUGUACAAAAACUUCUUGUGACCUCCACAGCUAAUGCUUUCUCAAGCCACCACGCUCUCUUGUCAACUACUGCAAGCCCCUCCUAACCUAUCAUCCUAUUUCCACUUUCUUCCCUCAGUCAGUUCGCCCCCACAGCAGCC